GGCUUCGUAGCUUAGCUGGUACAGCGCUUGCCUCGUUGAGGCAUGGUGCAAAUGUCGCUGGUUCAAAUCCAGCCGAAGCCC
rnacentral:tRNA from 1 species